rnacentral:rRNA from 1 species
CCUUUACAGGUCUGGCAAUUGGAAUGAGAACAAUUUAAAUCCCUUAUCGAGUAUCAAUUGGAGGGCAAGUCUGGUGCCAGCAGCCGCGGUAAUUCCAGCUCCAAUAGCGUAUAUUAAAGUUGUUGCAGUUAAAAAGCUCGUAGUUGGAUUUGUGGUGUACUUCGGCGGCCCGUCACUAUGUGAUGGAGCUUGCUGAAGUCGCCAUCCUUGGGUGGAUCCUGUGUGGCAUUAAGUUGUCGUGCAGGGGAUGCCCAUCGUUUACUGUGAAAAAAUUAGAGUGUUCAAAGCAGGCUUAUGCCGUUGAAUAUAUUAGCAUGGAAUAAUAAGAUAGGACCUUGGUACUAUUUUGUUGGUUUGCGCACCAAGGUAAUGAUUAAUAGGGACAGUUGGGGGUAUUCGUAUUUCAUUGUCAGAGGUGAAAUUCUUGGAUUUCUGAAAGACGAACUACUGCGAAAGCAUUUACCAAGGAUGUUUUCAUUAAUCAAGAACGAAAGUUAGGG